UGCGGACUGUUUUUGGAGAGAGAAGGCGCGCCCCCAACUUGGGUAGGGGGCAGAGAGGGCGAGCAGGAGGAGGCAGGUUCCGGCACAAGGCAUGAGGGGUGGGGGGAGGCCGAGAGCACGCGGACAAAGGAGGCGGCCCUCAGCCCAGCUGUUUUGAAAAAUGCUUCCUGUUUCUUUAAAGGCGCUCGCUGCUCGGGCGGCCUGGGCUCGGGAGGCGGCAGCGGCGGCGGCGGGAGCUGCCUCCUCUCCGGGCGGGCGGCGCUGAGUGAUCUUGCGAACUGGGCUUCUGUGUAAACUGAGGCUAAACAAACACAGAUGGAGCGCAGCGGGCGUUCUGCAGAAAUGCUGGCAGGGCGGCAGCGACUUCAGAUGACACUCUGAGCUCUCCCGGGGAACCGGCAGCCUCCAAGGCUUCACGGAGCCGGAGGCGCAGCUGCCCCGGGAGUGGGGGUGCGAGGGAGGGACCCGGGGAGGGAGGGUAGGAGGAGAGAGCGCGGCGACAAGGCGGCGCUCAGCGCGGCGGCCACCCGGCACAGCCAGGCGCGCGGCGUGCAGAGUGAUCGCUGCGGGCGCGCGUCCCGGGCAGUCCCACGCCCCAGCCUCACGCCGUCCUCGCCAUGAAGCACAUCCCGGUCCUCGAGGACGGGCCGUGGAAGACUGUGUGCGUUAAAGAACUGAACGGCCUCAAGAAGCUCAAGCGGAAAGGCAAGGAGCCGGUGCGGCGCGCGAAUGGCUAUAAAACUUUCCGAUUGGACUUGGAAGCUCCCGAGCUCGGCGCCACAGUCAGCACCACCGCCGCCACCAACGGGCUUCGGGACAGGACACAACCGUUCCCGAUCGCGACCCCAGUACCAGCCUCAGUGGCGCCGGCGGUUCCUCCAGGUGGAGGCACAGACACAGCCAGGGAAUUCCGGGGCAUCAGAGCGCCUGAGGUCUCUGACGCGCGCAAACGCGGUUUCGCUCUGGGCACAGUGGGACCGGGACUACCCACGCCACCGCCGCCUCCCGCAUCUCAGAGCUUGGCACCCGGGGAUCCCGAGGCGCACUCCUUCCGCGAGCAGGCUCUGCGUCCCCGCAUCUUGCUGUGCGCCCCUCCCGCGCGUCCCACACAAUCCGCGCCUCUCGCACCCCCAGCGGCGCCACAAGAGUCCCCCGUGCGCCCUGCGCCCCCCACGCGCCCGGGGGAAAGUUCCUACUCGUCAAUUUCACACGUAAUUUACAAUAACCACCCGGAUUCUUCCGCGUCGCCUAGGAAACGGCCAGGCGAAGCGACCGCCGCCUCAACGGAGAUCAAAGCCCUGCAGCAGACCCGGAGGCUUCUGGCCAACGCCAGGGAGCGGACGCGGGUGCACACCAUCAGCGCAGCCUUCGAGGCGCUGAGGAAGCAGGCUUGCUGUGUACAAUGCCUGCCAUCAACUGAGUCCCCACUGCCUUGUGAGGUCAGUUUUGUGCCCAGUGUACAAGGGCUGAGUGAAUAUGUCAUUCACUGGGACGUACGCUGGGCAGAGUCAGAGCCAGGCAUUGAACCCAGGAGACAAAGGUGCCGUGCUACUCCUAUGGGCAGAAGCUCUCCAAACUGGCCAUCCUGAGGAUUGCCUGUAACUACAUCUUGUCCCUGGCACGGCUGGCUGACCUGGACUACAGUGCCGACCACAGCAACCUCAGCUUCUCCGAGUGUGUGCAGCGCUGCACCCGCACCCUGCAGGCAGAAGGGCGAGCCAAGAAACGGAAGGAGUGACCUGCCACAGGCUAGACCACAGACACCACUGUGAGUCUCUUCCCAGUUGGGACUGAGGAGAAAGCUGGGACCACCAGGAGACGACCAGCCUCAUUCCUUGUCUUCCUCAAGAUGCUGCCAGAUACUCAGCCCGUGUACCAUCUCUCAGGGUCACUUAGAACCAGCACAAGGGCCGCCGGCCUCCCUCUCCGUCUCCUGCCAUCCAGGGUUACUUCAGAUUUUGCCUUCUGCCUGGUGGGGCGGGCUAUUGCCAAAGAUUCUACAGAGAUCGUCCAAGGAAAUUAUGGAUGAGGCCCCAACAGCACAAAACCACAUCAUUGCUGCCCUACCAAGUCCACCUCAAGCCAAAGAUGGAUUAGCACUACUGCUAGGAACCCAUGCAGUGGGCACCUGGUGACCAUCAGAAGCACUUAACCCUCCAAGCCAGUGCUCGCUCUGUGCUGGGCCCUGAGCAGCUGGUUGUCUUCGAGACAAGCUUCCUAGAGCCACGACAAGCAGGCUGCUGGUGGAAGGUGGAGCCCGAGAUCCUUGGCCCUUCCCAUUAGCUACCCAGACCUCUGACUCCUGUUCCCGAUACUCUUUGGGUCCUGGCUCCUUCUUGGACCCCAAGCCUCCUGAGAGAGGAGGGAAGGGGGAGACUAAAGAAGCAAUAUUGCCCCAUACCCCACCCGGGAUGUGCCCCAAGGAAAUCUUUCUGACAGUCCUUGCUCCCAGCCCCUGCCCCAGCAGGUGCGCCUCACCAGUGGUCAGGUUCAGGCUAACACUUAAAUUAGCACUCUGCUGGAGAGCAGCUGCCUGUGGACAGGCCAGGCAGGAGGACUUAGGGAGGAAGGGACCAGGGGAAUGGGCCAGGAUGUGGGGGAAGGGGCACGUUCAAAGCCAAGGCCUGCUCCUUGUGCUCCAGAGGCCAAAGCUGUUCACAUCUGUGUGCAACCAUCUGCUUCAAAUUGAAGUAAAAGCGGCAACAUAUAAAGGG